AUUGAACGCUGGCGGCAGGCCUAACACAUGCAAGUCGAGCGGAGCGGCGGACGGGUGAGUAAUGCCUAGGCAUCUGCCUGGUAGUGGGGGAUAACGUCCGGCAACGGGCGCUAAUACCGCAUACUAUCAGAUGAGCCUAGGUCGGAUUAGCUAUUUGGUGGGGUAAAGGCCUACCAAGGCGACGAUCCGUAACUGGUCUGAGAGGAUGAUCAGUCACCCUGGAACUGUGCCACGGUCCAGACUCCUACGGUAGGCAGCAGUGGGGAAUAUUGGACAAUGGGCGAAAGCCUGAACCAGCCAUGCCGCGUGUGUGAAGAAGGUCUUCGGAUUGUAGAGUACUUUCAGCGGGGAGGCGUUACCCGCAGAAGAAGCACCGGCUAACUCCGUGCCAGCCGCCGCGGUAAUUC
rnacentral:rRNA from 1 species